rnacentral:lncRNA from 1 species
CUGGUUCCUGACUUUGUCGCUCAGGGAGUUUAUAACCCAUCCACACAGAAAGGGGGUGGGGAAUCAAAAAAAUCACAAACUACCAGGAAACAGUUUGUUCCUUGAUUUUUUUUUUUCCCUGACAAUAGAUGCGGUCUCUUAUGAUUCUUCAGUGGUUUGGGGCUGGUGCCUGAUGCAUUGUUUUGCCCGGAGAGGUUCAGUAGGAAUGAGCUGGAUAGAGACGAAGGCCCUGAAACACCUCAGGAUACUCAUUUGGUGGACGGCAGAAGCAAGCCAGGCUGCAGGCCUCAUCCCUUUGCCCACUCUUACAUGGUGACCCCAGCCAGGUCCCCGCAAGCCUUUUCUGUCCCCUGUAUUUCAUUCUCUUCCCUUAAGGCUGAGUUAGUCACAAAAAUAAAACCCCCCAUACCUUAACUAUUCUGUAUCAGAAACUCUGCCUCUGUACAAAGCACUCAUUGUGUGAGCUAAAAGAAAGAAAAGAAAAA